rnacentral:rRNA from 1 species
GACAGAGGUGCCGAGCGUUAGGCGGAAUUACUGGGCGUAAAGCGCGUGUAGGUGGUGGGACAAGUCUGCUGUGAAAGCGCCUGGCUUAACCGGGCGAGGUCGGCGGAAACUGUCCGACUCGAGGACGGUAGAGGGAAGCGGAAUUUCCGGUGUAGCGGUGAAAUGCGUAGAUAUCGGAAGGAACACCAGUGGCGAAAGCGGCUUCCUGGUCCAGCACCGACGUUCAGGCACGAAAGCGUGGGGAGCAAACAGG